GUUGAUUAACAUAAUUAUUUAAAAAAACAAACUAAUGAAACAGGCCUGGACAAAAAUGAUGGUACCUCUAUAAAAGAUUGAAAACUAUUUGACCAGAGUGACAUGAUUAACUCAGGUGUGUCAUUUAAUUGACAUCACAGGUGUUUCCAAACUCAUAAUCAGUCAGUCUGCCUAUUUAAAGGGAGACAAGUAGUCACCCUGCUGUUUGGGGAAAAGGUGUGUACCACACUGAACAUGGACAACAGAAAGCGAAGGAGAGAAUUGUCCCAGGACAUCCGAAAAAAAUUAUAGACAAACAUCUUAAAGGUAAAGGCUAUAAGACCAUCUCUAAACAGCUUGAAGUUCCUGUGACAACAGUGGCUCAUAUUAUUCAGAAGUUCAAGACCCACGGGACAGUAGCCAACCUCCCUGGACGUGGCCGCAAGAGGAAAAUUGAUGACAAAUUGAAGAGACGGAUCGUUGGAAUUGUAUCCAAAGAGCCCAGAGCAACCUCCAAAGAAAUUAAAGGUGAACUCCAAGGCCAAGGUACAUCAGUGUCAGAUCGCACCAUUCGUCGUUGUUUGAGCCAAAGUGGACUUCAUGGGAGACGACCAAGGAGGACACCACUGCUGAAAAAAACUCAUAAAAAAGCCAGACUGGAAUUUGCAAAAAUGCAUGUUGACAAGCCACAAAGCUUCUGGGAGAAUGUCCUUUGGACAGAUGAGACCAAACUAGAGCUUUUUGGUAAGGCACAUCAACUCUAUGUUCAUAGACUCAAAAACCAAGCAUACGAAGAAAAGAACACUGUCCCUACGGUGAAACAUGGAGGAGGCUCAGUAAUGUUUUGGGGCUGCUUUGCUGCAUCUGGCACAGGGUGUCUUGAAAGUGUGCAAGGUACGAUGAAAUCUGAAGCCUAUCAAGGCAUUCUGGAGAGAAAUGUGCUGCCUAGUGUCAGAAAGCUUGGUCUCAGUCGCAGGUCAUGGGUCUUCCAACAGGACAACCAUCCAAAACACACAGCCAAAAACACCCAAGAAUGGCUGAGAGAAAAGCGUUGGACUAUUCUAAAGUGGCCUUCUAUGAGCCCAGAUCUGAAUCCCAUUGAACAUAUGUGGAAGGAGCUGAAACAUGCCAUUUGGAGAAGACACCCAUCAAACCUGAGACAACUGGAGCUGUUUGCUCAUGAG